UACGUAGGGGGCGAGCGUUGUCCGGAGUUACUGGGCGUAAAGGGCAUGCAGGCGGUCGGACGCGUUUCGGGUGACAGCGGGUGGCUUAACUACCCGAGUGGUCGAAAGACGGUUUGACUUGAGGACGCGAGAGGGACACGGAAUUCCGGGUGGAGUGGUGAAAUGCGUAGAGAUCCGGAGGAACACCAAAGGCGAAGGCAGUGUCCUGGGGAGUACCUGACGCUCAGGUGCGAAAGCCAGGGGAGCGAACGGG
rnacentral:rRNA from 1 species